CUCUGCUGAGAAGUCAAUCUUGGGCAAAUUACUUAACCUCUUUGCGUAUGUUUUCUCAUCUGUCAAACAGGGUGUGUAAUAGUGGCAUCAUGAGCUAGCUGUUUGGACGAAGGUUAUAGUUGGAAGAUUUCAGAGAAAAACGAAUGGCCAAUACUUGGAACCUAGAGGGCCUUUGGGUUUGGCUUCCAGAACCAAUCAAGAGGCAAAAACUACAAUUCCACUGUCAAGAUUAUAGUUUGUUUUAAACCCUAACGUUGUCUUUUAAAAAAUUGCAUCCCAGAAGAGCAUUUGUGGAUUUUUAAAUAUCCCAUUUAUCCUCUCUAAACUUGGAAUCUGAUGUCAGCAUUGCCUUGAAAUCGUCUGUGGCAGAUUUAUAAUUUUUCUGGAGGGGAAAGAGGGAAAAACAAGAUGAAAAAAUGGGGACUUUUUUUCUUUUGGCUUAAAACCAAAGAUUCAAAGCUGGUAUGAAUGAAUGGCUUGGAAUGAAGCCUCUGGUGAGCAUAGUGGUGUUUGCAGUCCUUCUACAACCUUUGCAUGGUUUGCAGGGUCUCCCCACUUUGUGUCAUGACUGCUGGCUGAGGUUAUUCUGGGGAGAUGAUAGCUGUGGAAAAUGUGAUGUAGAACUCUGCUCCCAGCCUGCAUGCUCCCUUUCCAGGACUGUGUUGGAUCGAUGCAGCUCUACUUGGAACGGUGGAAUAGGGGCAGAAAUACAGAAAUU
rnacentral:lncRNA from 10 species